rnacentral:rRNA from 1 species
AUGAACGGUCAUAGGUGCCUGGUUCCACCUAGUCACAUCCGAACCUAGAAGUUAAGCAGGCAUACGUCUUGAGCGGUACUAUGUUUUCACAUGGGAAACUUGGAUGCUGUUCAUC